rnacentral:rRNA from 1 species
CCUACGGGAGGCAGCAGUGGGGAAUAUUGCACAAUGGGGGAAACCCUGAUGCAGCGACGCCGCGUGAGUGAAGAAGUCAUUCUUUAUGUAAAGCUCUAUCAGCAGGGAAGAAAAUGCCGGUACCUGUGUAAGACUCCCCGGCUCACGCCGUGCCAGCAGCCGCGGCAAUACGUAGGAGGCAAGCGUUAUCCGGAUUUACUGGGUGUAAAGGGAGCGUAGACGGCAGUGCAAGUCAGGAGUGAAAGGCGGGGGCUCAACCUCGGAAUUGCACUGGAUACUGUACGGCUGGAGUGCAGGAGCGGUAGGUGGAAUGCCUGGUGUAGCGGUGAAAUGCGUAGAGAUGAGGAAGAACACCAGUGGCGAAGGCGGCUUACUGGACUGCAACUGACGUUGAGGCUCGAAAGCGUGGGGAGCAAACAGGAUUAGAUACCCGUGUAGUC